GGUUAAGUGACUAAGCGUAGACGGUGGAUGCCUAGGCAGUUGGAGGCGAUGAAGGACGUACUAACUUGCGAUAAGCCAUGAUGAGGCAGUAAGAGCCGCUUGAGUCAUGGAUUUCCGAAUGGGGAAACCCAGUGUGCAUGCACACUAUCUUGCACUGAAUACAUAGGUGUAAGAAGCGAACCCGGAGAACUGAAACAUCUAAGUACCCGGAGGAAAAGAAAUCAACCGAGAUUUCCCUAGUAGCGGCGAGCGAACGGGAAUUAGCCCUUAAGCAAUCAUGGUUCUAGUGGAAUGAGUUGGAAAGCUCAACGAUACAGGGUGAUAGUCCCGUACACGAAGGAAACAUGAAGGUGAAAACGAGUAGGUCGGGACACGUGUUAUCUUGACUGAAUAUGGGGGGACCAUCCUCCAAGGCUAAAUACUCCCAACUGACCGAUAGUGAACCAGUACCGUGAGGGAAAGGCGAAAAGAACCCCGGCGAGGGGAGUGAAAUAGAACCUGAAACCGUCUACGUACAAGCAGUAGGAGCACCUUCGUGGUGUGACUGCGUACCUUUUGUAUAAUGGGUCAGCGACUUAUAUUUUGUAGCAAGGUUAACCGACUAGGGGAGCCGUAGGGAAACCGAGUCUUAACUGGGCGUCUAGUUGCAAGGUAUAGACCCGAAACCGGGCGAUCUAGCCAUGGGCAGGUUGAAGAUUGAGUAACAUCAAUUGGAGGACCGAACUCACUAAUGUUGAAAAAUUAGGAGAUGACCUGUGGCUCGGAGUGAAAGGCUAAUCAAGCCCGGAGAUAGCUGGUUCUCCCCGAAAGCUAUUUAGGUAGCGCCUCGGACGAAUACCACUGGGGGUAGAGCACUGUUUGGGCUAGGGGGUCAUCCCGACUUACCAACCCCAUGCAAACUCCGAAUACCAGUGAGUACUAUCCGGGAGACACACGGCGGGUGCUAACGUCCGUCGUGAAGAGGGAAACAACCCAGACCGCCAGCUAAGGUCCCCAAGUCAUGGCUAAGUGGGAAACGAUGUGGGAAGGCUUAGACAGCUAGGAGGUUGGCUUAGAAGCAGCCAUCCUUUAAAGAAAGCGUAAUAGCUCACUAGUCGAGUCGGCCUGCGCGGAAGAUGUAACGGGGCUAAGCCAUGCACCGAAGCUGCGGCAGCAAACUUGUUU
rnacentral:rRNA from 1 species